rnacentral:tRNA from 2 species
GCGGGGGUAACUCAGUUGGUAGAGUGUCAGCUUCCCAAGCUGAAGGUCGCGGGUUCGAAUCCCGUCCUCCGCUCCA